rnacentral:tRNA from 1 species
GCGGGCGUGGCGGAACUGGUAGACGUGCAAGACUUAGGAUCUUGUGCCGCUCGGCGUGCAGGUUCAAGUCCUGUCGCCCGCACCA